AUUGAACGCUGGCGGCAGGCUUAACACAUGCAAGUCGAGCGGAGCGGCGGACGGGUGAGUAAUGCUUAGGAAUCUGCCUAUUAGUGGGGGACAACAUCUCGAAAGGGAUGCUAAUACCGCAUACUGUCGGAUGAACCGAUAUGGGAUUAGCUAGUAGGUAAGGUAAUGGCUUACCUAGGCGACGAUCCCUAGCUGGUCUGAGAGGAUGAUCAGCCACACUGGGACUGAGACACGGCCCAGACUCCUACGGGAGGCAGCAGUGGGGAAUAUUGGACAAUGGGCGAAAGCCUGAUCCAGCCAUGCCGCGUGUGUGAAGAAGGUCUUCGGAUUGUAAAGCACUUUAAGUUGGGAGGCGUUACCAACAGAAUAAGCACCGGCUAACUUCGUGCCAGCAGCCGCGGUAAUAC
rnacentral:rRNA from 1 species